GGGCCCGUGGCGUAGUAUGGAAGCGCGUCGGCCUUCGGAGCCGAUGGUCGUGGGUUCAAGUCCCACCGGGCCCG
rnacentral:tRNA from 1 species